rnacentral:lncRNA from 1 species
CUUGAAGGGAAAUGAAUUUGUAGGCUGUCCCUACAAAUGGGUGGGUGUGGAAAGGAUAGAAAUGGAUUUUGAACAGACUGCAGAUGUUUUCUAGACUGAUGGCGAGCUGCAAAGCUAUGAGCCAAGUCUGUCAAUAGGAAAAGAUGAAGGAGGCCUUUGUAGGAAGAACACUGCCCUUGAGAUACAUGUAAAAACAGCAAGAGUUGCGGUGUGCGAGAGGACAGAAAUAACAGCGGGGGCUCAAAAAAAGCAGCGGAUGUAAAAAGGGUGGAGGCAUGGCCCUGCUGAUGACAGCAAUGCUUGGUGUGGCCAAGGCUCAUGCGGCCACAGAAAGCCCACAGGACAGCUCCCAGAUGCACUGCAAGCAUCUGUCCCACCAUCCCCAGCUCACAGCAAAGCAGACACCUGAAGCAGAAGCUGCUCCCCAAAAGCAGCGCCCCAGAAGAUGCUGGGGCAGGUGCCAUGGGCAAGGCUGUCUCCUUCUGGCCCUGCCGUCCUGCUCCUGGCCCUCUGUGAGUUGGGACAUUGUUGGGUGUGGGGGCUGAGGGCUGGAGGGUUGCUGCUGGGGGCAGGACAGGCACAUGAUGGGCACAGGGGAGGAUGGGGACAGCGUGUGUGGGGCAGGUGUGCAGCACCGUGGGGCAGAGUGUGUUUUGGGAAGGCAGGAUGGGGAUGGCUUCCUCCAAUUAUAAAACACAUCUGAGCAAGGGGCACACUUCUCCAGCACCAUAAAUUGUCUGGAGUGUUGCUCUGAGGCUCUAGGACUGCUGAGGUCUUUACGGAGCUAUGGGACUUACCUGGAACAAGGAAUCCACGCAAAAUAGGAUUGGAAGUGGCAUUGUUUGAGGGGGUAUUGAAGAGGUACAGCAUGAGAACAUGCAGGUGUGAUGGUGGCUGCUUAGCAGUGAGGAUGUGGGCAGGGGCAUCAGGAUGAGCCAGGACACUGCUCCUCUCAGCAAAUCCCUCUCUGCCCCUUGGUACAGGUGGCAGCAUGACCUCCCAGGACAUCUGCAGCUUCCCAGGUACUCGUGAGUCCUUCCCUCCCAGAGCCAGGGCACUUGGAAGCCCAACCACUGUGAGCUCUGCCCUAUGGCAGCCCUUCACUGCUGUGUCUCCUGCAGGGGAUCUCCGAGCUCCUGCUCUCCAAAUGAACUCAACUUCUGCUCAGCCAGGUACCACAGUUGUGCUCCAGUGUAUUCUCCAUGUGGUGUCAAGUGUAAGACAAGUCAUUUUCUGCAAGGAUGGGAUGGAGGUGUACAGUCUGAAAGCCCAGCAAGGGCAGCUGAGAUACUCCGUGGUCCUGAACAUCACGUCAAGGAGCGCAGGAAGAUAUACAUGUGGGUACCAGCAGAGGAAUGAGAUGAAACAGAGGAGGAGCUCUGCCCUCAGUGCUGGCCGCAUCCUGAAUGUCCCUGGUGCAGCUGCUGGCGUGAGCACCCAGGGCAUCUGCAGCUCCCCAGGUGAUGUUGAGCUUGGGGAUGGGUGACUGAAGAGAGGUGUGUGGGGUGGUGAUGGCAAGGGAGAGGGAAUUUGUUCUCUGGGCAAGAGCUCCUGGGAAGGAAUCACUUCCCUGCAUGGAACACAAAGCAUUUUGUGUCCAGUUCUGGGAUUCCCUGUUCAGGAGGGGCAUAGAACUACUGGAGAGAGUCCAGAGGAGGGCUGCAAAGAUGAUCAGAGGUCUGGAGCCAAGAGAACUGAGCCUGUUUAGCCUGGAAAAGAGGAGACUGAGGGGAGACCUCAUCCAUGUCCAUAAAUAUCUGAGUGGAGGGUGUUGAGAGGAUGGAGCUGGUCUCUUUUCGGUUGUGUCCAGGGAAAGGGCGAGAGGCAAUGGGCUCAAUCUGAAGCACA